rnacentral:lncRNA from 1 species
GUGCAGAGAGAUUUGGGUCCUAACCCAGAAGUCAGUGGUGUGGAGGGACUUUUAAUCCUAAUGCAGGUGCUUCGACCACCCACAAGCUCUGUUGCCCUUUUUCGAUGGGCCUUCUAUUUCAAUUUCUUCAGCAAAUUUGGGUUCAUCUCUACAACCAAAGCAAUCAAGUGGUUAGCAUAAAGAUAAAGGAGAACACAAAGCUCUGAGGUAGGUGACUCA